UACGUAGGGGGCAAGCGUUGUCCGGAUUUAUUGGGCGUAAAGAGCGUGUAGGCGGCCAGGUAGGUCGGUUGUGAAAACUGGAGGCUCAACCUCCAGACGUCGACCGAAACCAUCUGGCUAGAGUCCGGAAGAGGAGAGUGGAAUUCCUGGUGUAGCGGUGAAAUGCGCAGAUAUCAGGAGGAACACCAGCGGCGAAGGCGGCGCUCUGGGCCGGUACUGACGCUGAGGAGCGAAAGCGUGGGUAGCAAACAGG
rnacentral:rRNA from 1 species